GCAGUGACAGGUGCUGCAUGGCUGUCGUCAGCUCGUGUUGUGAAAUGUUGGGUUAAGUCCCGUAACGAGCGCAACCCUUGUCCUUAGUUGCUAGCAGGUUAAGCUGAGAACUCUAAGGAGACUGCCGGUGACAAACCGGAGGAAGGUGGGGACGACGUCAAGUCAUCAUGGCCCUUACGACUUGGGCUACACACGUGCUACAAUGGCCAGUACAAAGGGUUGCCAAGCCGCGAGGUGGAGCUAAUCUCAUAAAACUGGUCGUAGUCCGGAUUGGAGUCUGCAACUCGACUCCAUGAAGUCGGAAUCGCUAGUAAUCGUGAAUCAGAAUGUCACGGUGAAUACGUUCCCGGGCCUUGUACACACCGCCCGUCACACCAUGGGAGUGGGUUGCUCCAGAAGUGGCUAGUCUAACCUUCGGGGGGACGGUCACCACGGAGUGAUUCAUGACUGGGGUG
rnacentral:rRNA from 1 species